rnacentral:tRNA from 1 species
UAACAAGGUAGCCGUACCGGAAGGUGUGGCUGGAUCACCUCCUUUAAAGGGAGACCAACAAGAGCAGCAGGAAAAAAAACUAUACUACUGUUGUAUCUAGAAUCCCUGGUCGAGCAAGGAAGAAAAGCAGGUUUUAACUUUCAAACUAGAGUUAUGGUUCGUAUAUGGGCUAUUAGCUCAGGUGGUUAGAGCGCACCCCUGAUAAGGGUGAGGUCCCUGGUUCAAGUCCAGGAUAGCCCAUCUAAUCAAACAGGGGGGUAUAGCUCAGUUGGUAGAGCGCUGCCUUUGCAAGGCAGAAGUCAGCGGUUCGAGUCCGCUUACCUCCAGGAAAAAAACCAGAACUCAGCAAUCAGACCUGAAAAAAAUCAAGUCAGACUGCUGGGAAUCUAAAUCCCAGUGAGAACCUAGAAAACUGCAUAGUCAAAGAAGUAAAAAGUAACUGAAAAGGAGUUAGAUAUAAUCUAACUUGUCCAGUCAGGUAGAAA